GUGGGGAAUUUUGGACAAUGGGCGCAAGCCUGAUCCAGCAAUGCCGCGUGCAGGAAGAAGGCCUUCGGGUUGUAAACUGCUUUUGUACGGAACGAAACGGCUCUGGUUAAUACCCGGGGCUAAUGACGGUACCGUAAGAAUAAGCACCGGCUAACUACGUGCCAGCAGCCGCGGUAAUACGUAGGGUGCAAGCGUUAAUCGGAAUUACUGGGCGUAAAGCGUGCGCAGGCGGUUGUGUAAGACAGGCGUGAAAUCCCCGGGCUCAACCUGAGAAUUGCGCUUGUGACUGCACAGCUGGAGUGCGGCAGAGGGGGAUGGAAUUCCGCGUGUAGCAGUGAAAUGCGUAGAUAUGCGGAGGAACACCGAUGGCGAAGGCAAUCCCCUGGGCCUGCACUGACGCUCAUGCACGAAAGCGUGGGGAGCAAACAGGAUUAGAAACCCCGGUAGUCC
rnacentral:rRNA from 1 species